rnacentral:rRNA from 1 species
CAGCAGCCACGGUAAUACGUAGGUCCCGAGCGUUGUCCGGAUUUAUUGGGCGUAAAGGGAGCGCAGGCGGUUUAGUAAGUCUGAAGUUAAAGGCAUUGGCUCAACCAAUGUAUGCUUUGGAAACUGUUAGACUUGAGUGCAGAAGGGGAGAGUGGAAUUCCAUGUGUAGCGGUGAAAUGCGUAGAUAUAUGGAGGAACACCGGUGGCGAAAGCGGCUCUCUGGUCUGUCACUGACGCUGAGGCUCGAAAGCGUGGGUAGCGAACAGGAUUAGAUACCCGCGUAGUCCCUGUCUCUUAUACA